AAUCUUUGAGUGGGUAUAGG
rnacentral:piRNA from 1 species